GUUGGAUCGUGGCAAAUUUGGCAUAAUAUUACCGUUGCAGCGAAGUUUUUCUCGGAUGAAGAGAUGAUGCUAGUAGAUUGCACACGUCCUUUAUGUCGUGACCGAGCACAGCCUGGGUCUCAGUCGUGGCAAAAGAACCAUACAAACUUAUCUCACUUGCAAAAGAACCAUACAAAGUUAUCUCACUUGCGCCCCUGCGCGGGUUCUGGGGCGGUACCGCUGCAUGUCCCGUGUAACCUAGUAAUUUAGUACCGUUGCCGCCACCAAGUAAUGUAGUCUUUGGACAGCAUGUCAACUAAUAAGACACUCUCCGGUCCCACCAUCGAUCGCUACCGAGCGCCAGUCUGUGACGACGUACGAAUCCGUCGUCUCCCAGCGUUCCAUCGUUAAUGGAGAAGAAACCCUGAUCCUAACCCAAACCCUAGUCCUAGGGGAAAGAGUAGAGGGCUUCUCGAUGCCGAGCGAAGGGCGGAGGAGGAGAGGAGAGAUCCGAGGAGCGGAAUAAGAGGACGAAGGAAAGGUGAUGGGGGCUCCGAAGCAGAAGUGGACGCCGGAAGAGGAGGAGGCUCUGAGGGCUGGAGUCGACAAGCACGGCGCCGGCAAGUGGCGGACCAUCCAGAAGGAUCCUGAGUUCAGCCACUGCCUCUCCACUCGCUCCAACAUUGAUCUCAAGGUCGCUGAAGAUUUGGCGUCUUGCAGAAUAAAAAAUUCCAUAUUUGGACCGCAGAAUUCUAGAAAAAUCAAGAAAGAAUAUUAUUUUGUUUGCGUUCUUGUUUGGAACUCUAGCCUUUAAAACAAUGUCGGUGCUGAUAGUGUGUACUACUGUAACAUCCCGGCCCAGGACCAAGCCCAAAAUCCAAAAAAAAAAAAAAAAAA